CUGAGAUUGGAUUGAUGCACACACAAGAGGCCUAACCACACCGGAGCAAGUGGAGUAGAAAAAAAGAAAGAAGGCCAUCAGGGCAUGCAGGAAAAACAGAUCCGUGGAGGACAAAAAGUUAAGAGCCCAUAAAUGCAGCAGCAAACUCUUUGGCUGUUGAGGAGAUGCCAUCAGGCUAGACUUUGCUCUAAAGGGACAAAUGUUUAUCUGUGGGUCUGGGUCUCCAGCGGGCCGCAGGUGGAGCGCACCUGUCCUCCAGACCACAUUCCUGCCCUCCCUCAGCAUCCGCUGACCACCCCUAAGGAAAACUAGCGUAUGGUUUCCUGGAUCGCUGGGAUGUUUGUCUCCAGGCAACACUGACAUACACAAUCCUCACAUUUCUGUCAUUCACAUAGAACUACUCAAAAUAAGCUGAGACUGUGCACUACAGAGGUUUUACUGUGGUUAAGGGGUCAUGAAGCACCUACCACCCUUUACCAUAGUAAAAUCAGUGGGUCACCCAACCAAUAUUUAACUGUUUAUACAGUAAACGUUAUAUAGAUUUUUUUUAUUUGUGACCCUGGACCACAAAA
ensembl:lncRNA